GAUGAACGCUGGCGGCGUGCCUAAUACAUGCAAGUCGAGCGAACUUUUGGGAGUUUGCUCCCAAAAGUUCGCGGCGGACGUGUGAGUCACACGUGGGUCACCUCCCUGUAACACUGGGAUAACUUCGGGACACCGGCUCUUAUACCGGAUAACAUUUAAGCCUCCAUUGCCUUCAAUUAAAAGGUUUCUUUUAGCUACCACUUACAGAUGGACCCGCCGCGCAUUAGCUAGUUGGUUAGGUACAGGCUCACCCAGGCGACGAUGCGUAGGCGACCUGAGCGGGAGAUCGGCCAAACUGGGAAUGAGAAAAGGGCCAGAAUGCUACGGGAGGCAGCAGUAGGGGAUCUUCCGGAAAGGAGGAAAGGCGGGAGGAGCAAAGCCGGGGGAGGGAAGGAAGGCUUCGGGGCGUAAAGCUCUGUUGUGAGGGAAGAAAAAGUAUCGUGCGAAUAGGGCGGUACAUUGACGGUACCUAACCAGAAAGCCACGGCUAACUACGUG
rnacentral:rRNA from 1 species